rnacentral:rRNA from 1 species
GACAGAGGGUGCAAACGUUUGUUCGGAAUUACUGGGCGUAAAGCGCACGUAGGCGGAUCGUUAAGUGAGGGGUGAAAUCCCAGGGCUCAACCCUGGAACUGCCUUUCAUACUGGCGAUCUUGAGUCCGGAAGAGGUGAGUGGAACUCCUAGUGUAGAGGUGGAAUUCGUAGAUAUUAGGAAGAACACCAGUGGCGAAGCGGCUCACUGGUCCGGUACUGACGCUGAGGUGCGAAAGCGUGGGGAGCAAACAGG